UUUAAAGGUGGUGCUAUUCCUAUUGGUGAAAAAGAAGUGGAUUGUGCAGAUAGGUUACGACAGUACUUUGGUGGUUUAGUUUGUAGAUCGGUGGAGGAAACUUUUAAAGAUAUGGGACGUUUUUUGUUGAUUGA
rnacentral:ribozyme from 1 species